AUGGUCGGGGUCAGUCUCAUCCGACAACGCCAUGACUUCCACUUCGCUCUGUGGCGAGCAGCCCCUGCACCAUCCAUGCUCGUCGUGUGUUCGUGAGUUCACGCGCAAGUCUCUGCGUGGUGGUCGUGUCGCUGCAAGCUUGUGCCACGCACCCGGGCAUUGUGUCGCACCAAAUAGCAGCAGCAACACACCCUCAAGCCUCGCAUUGAACCUGCUCGACGAAAAGCGCAGCAAGCUGCGUGUCGUUCGUCCCUGCAGCAACACCAUUCUUCACUUCGCGUCAUACAUCGCAUAGCCUUCAUCGCUGCGCAUUGUCCGCAUUGACGCAGCAGCCCUUCCGUUCAUUCUCCACUCCCCUCGUCGCGUGUCAUCAAUCUCGUGCUUGCUGCGCAGCCCAUCCUCGUCGUCGUCAAAACCCUUGGUGAGCCCCUCGCUAGUACCCCCACUGUUUUUUUGAUCUCGGGUGCUUGAUAAAAUGUUUGAACCACUGGGUGUUUUUAAUUGCAGCUAGAUGUUGCCGCUGCGCCUCGCGCGACGCAUGAUUCGGUGAAACACCUAAAACCGUGGAGGCACGCGCGACACGAGUCGGCUAGGUUGUUCGCAUUGAGUGGUUCACGAUUUGUUUUAUUUACAUAUUUGGUCGAUGAUGUGCAUGUGUUUAUAUGUGUGUGAAAAUAUAUUUGUAUGAAUGGACGUGUGUAGAAAAGAAAACGAAGUAGAAAGAAACUCGGAUGUUUUUAUAUUUGAUAGGAAAAAUAUGCGAUGCGUUGUUUAAAUGCGAAAACUAAGUUACAAAAUGCGGAUUUUGUUUUGGGAAAUGCAUCGAUAUGUGUUUAUGUGAAAAGUGUAUUUGUUUUAUGCAACGUGAUGAGAUUCGUAAUUAUAUAGGGGAUAUAAUUGUUAAUGUGACGAGUAGUUUAGACAAUGCUAAUUUGCGUGGAGGAUGAAUUAUUAAUACAUGAGUGUCGGAGUUCAUAUAUUAGUGGUCGCGCCACAUUGAUCGAAGUGUCUCGAGUGCACGCCACAAUAUGGUUGUAUGCGAGACCGGGUUAUGUGCCUGACGAGUUAGUAAAAAUCUAUCGGUGUCACUUGUGUUAAGUUGAGGUUUAUUUGCGCGUGGAAAGUAAUAAUAUGCUUAAUACCUAGAACUCUUAGUCGACAGUAGAAAUUGUUUUGGCUUAUAUAGAGAGGUGGUGACAUGCCAAAGUAGUCAUCGCUUCCUCUAUAUCUUGAGUCGGGUCAAUACGCGUUAUGUGUUCAUGAAUUGGGAAAUAAGCGCAUGAUGGUUUCGAGUUAGAGAUCAGUGGUUUACGAUUCGUAUAGAUUGGUCGAUGUGCGAAAAUACUUGUGAGUAUGUGUGUUUAUAAAAAUGUGGCAGUGUAUGUUGAGUCUCGGAUUGCGAUAAUAAUAGGCAAGUCGACGUGUAUAUUAUUUAGCGGUCUAUGUCGUUGCUCUAGUUAGCCGACUGUUAGAUGGCUUUGGUUAAGCUCGUAAUCACGGUGAUUUGCUUGUUUUGGUCUAGACGCACAUGGUUAUGGUCGCGGGUAAAAUUAGUGGUGUUCAUGUGAUGUCUAAGUAAAAAUACAAAUUAGUGUGUGAAGGGCGCAAUCGAUAUACACAUUUAUACCAGGUUUGAUUAUUGUGGUGAAUGCGUUUGUUGAUUGUGUACGGUAAUUCUAACGCGCGAAAUAACUUGUAUAAAAAUUAGUAAGUCUAUUUGUUAGUUCUCACUUGGUCAUUUUAACUCUAACAAUUGUCAAAGAGUUAGAAUAAUUCAAGUAUCUAGAACGCGGCAAUUCUUGAAUUGUAUAGGAACUGAAAUUUAUUAAUUGCGGUUUUGGACUGCACGCAGUGAUUUCCCUGUGAUGUAUGUUUGACGAACUAAAUUGAAUUUUCUGUAGAUAUGUGCUAUAGAAAAGUGGUAGAUAACUUUAUUAUCUUGCUGGUGUUAAAAUUUGACAGCCAUAAGUUUGAUCGUUUAGAAGUUAUGCUUUUCACAAUUUCAGUAACUGAAUCUGCCCAAAUUCUGUACAGAUUUCAGAAACUGCAUUGUUUGCUUAAUUUAAUGUUACAAUCUGUUUAUGGUCGUUAUAAGAAAGUUGUAGAUGCUUUUCUUAUCUUGCUUGUGUUAAAAUUUCAUAACCAUAGGCCUGACAGAUUAGGAGUUAUGAAUUUUACAAACUGGUUGCUGUAUUCUGUCCACUGACAGAACAUAUUUCGAAAACUGAAUUGUUUGCUUCAGUUCAGCAUAGAAUCAAUUCUUGGUGAUUAUAAAAGUAUUUAGUGCUUUUGCUAAGCUUUCCAAAAAGUCUUGGAUCACUCUUUUUGGUGAUCUGAAGAUUAAGUUAUGGAUGUUUAAAGUCUGAAGACUGAAUCUGUCCAAUUCUGGACAGCAAAGCCUUCUAGUGUCUUUUGUCCUUAGUUAAAUAUUGAAUCACCUUGAGAUGUUUAUAAAAGAAAUGCAGACAAUUUUAUUACCUUUCCAGAAAGUCUAGGAUCAAUUUGUUUGGAUGUCUGAACCUGUAGUUGUGAAUUUUUGAAGUCGCAAGUCUGAAUCUGUCCAAAUCUGGACAGAGCUGCUGUGUUAGCACAAUUCGACCUUGCUAAGAGUCUAAUCAUAUUGAGAUGAUAAUACCAAAGUUGUAGACCGUUUCCCAAGCUUUCCAAAAAGUAUUUGUUCACUAUUUUUGGAUAAAUAUUUGAAGAGUUAUGACUGAAACAAGUAACUGUUGUGUUACUGUCCAAAAAUCUGCAAGUGUUUAAUUGAUUGUUGAGUUGACCCUUUUUGCUAAAAAUGUUUGGUUAGCCCUUAAUUAAUGUAGACUUGCCAUGGCUAAGUUGAGAUAACAUAUGUGUCCUGUUUUAUAUGUUCCUUUCUUUAGUUGAUUGUGAAGUCGUAUUUGUGUUGCGUAAGUAUCUAAAAUGUUGUCGUCUUUUUAAUGGUGUUAAUGAUGAACGCAGAUAACGUACGACUAGCUAGCGCUUGCGUAUAGUCGUUGCGGUGCCUUACGAUUUAAUGAUUAGUUUGCUACCGUCUGUUUUGGGAUUGUCUUAUAAUAUAUUUCAUCAUAUUCAUACAUAUGCAUCAUGCAUCUCAUUUAGGACCGAGAGAUGAUGAUCGUGCAAGUGAUGUGGUGCCAACCACAAGAUGCAGUUGGUGGACGACCUGAAGAAUGGUGGACUUACCCAGUGGAUGCUCGCCAAGCAAGUACCCCCCAGCAAACACUAUCUAAGUGUUAAUUAAAGGCAAGCCCCGGUUUUAUGCAUAACCGUUAUAUAUGCUAUUUUACUACACUUAAUGUUUGUAGGCUUGUACCGUGCACUUAAGUGUAGGAGUUGGUUGAAACCCUAGUUGCAUGAACUCAGGAUUCCUUUUGAGAUGGAUACUAGUAUGCUAGGUCGAGUAGCUGCUAUGCUAAAUCAGGAUCUCGGUAGAAAUCGAGUGAUUUUUCUAGCACUCGCGCGAGGUCAGAAAUUGGUUGUAUCCAUUUUUGAUAACAGAAUGAUGAUGGUCUAUGGACACGGAUCCAUGGGGAUGCGUGGUCUAUGAGACGAAAUUGGAAUAAGGAUUAACGUGCGGAUACCUGUGUCAAGCUUUUGAACGUACUAAGCACAUGUCGGGAAAAAUGGUAACCGGUAAACCUAGUACCUGAGUGAAGCCGGGCGCGGACUUUAUCCCUCACUCGACCUGAGACUGGGUCUCCCAUUCUAGAUAUGGUGGGUACAAGUGCGGCCACUGCACGACGGCGGCCGGGGUCAGUGGAGCAUUGUAUGCCAAGGCGAUGAGGCCUGGCCGCGAACGGGGAAUCGAUGGGGACGGUUGACAUGUGUGGGGACGGAGUGCCCUGACAUGUCGUGUGUUUAGGUUUACCUUGCAAGGUUUAAAAACUCGAUUCGAAUCGUCUGCUUCUCGCAGCUAAUGAGACUGCUUGAUCCAUUGUACUGCAUUGAGUAAUAAGUGGAAAUGAGAUGACUGGAAAAAGAUGUUGAUUGAUAUAAUGUUUGAUACCAUGUAUGAAUAGAUAGGUUCUCAUCUAGUGUAAAUUAUUAUUCUAGAACUUGAAAAGCUAAAACUUGUUUUUAGACUCAGCUAGUGCUUUUGGCAAACCAAACCCCUCAGCCAAACAGCUGCAUGGUCUAGAGGUAGAGGAGUAGACUCCUCACACCGGGUAAGUCUAGCUGAGUAUUAGUAUACUCAGCCUUGCUUGUGGCAUAAUUUUUGCAGGUACCUCCUUGAUUUGGUUGAUGGUGUGACUUGGCCUUCAUCCCUGCCACCGGGAUAGACGGUCGAGUGGGUUACUGCUUCCGCAGGAGAGGACCAGGAGGAGUAGUGUGGCCAGGCUUCACCAUGUUACUCGGUUCUUCUCCGUUAGUUAUUUCCGCUGCAUUAAAAUUUAUGGUUAUUAUUUCUGAAACUCCGAUAAUGUAGUUACUACUGAUACUUAUUAAAUUUGUAGUAUUAUGUUUUAUUGUAUUUCUCUGUGCCUCACCUUCGAGUGAGCUAGUGGUAUUCGAUCCUGGAUAAGUGGCUUUAUCGGACUAGAUCCGAGGGACUGACGGGUUAUUCCGAUUUAAGUGUGUUGCUGCCUUUAAGGGUGCGACUUGGACACUUAAGCUGGAAUAAUUCGGGCGGUUCUGCCACAUAGUUUAUCUUCUACUGCGCUUCGUAUUUCUGGCUCUCUCGAGCUUGUACUCUGGUAUUGUAAUAACAUUUAUUCGAAC
rnacentral:lncRNA from 1 species